rnacentral:lncRNA from 1 species
AAAGAAUAGAUGAAAAGAAAAGAAAUUCGAUCGUUAGAAUCAUUCUCUCUCUUACAUAUCAUCAUUAUACGCAAAUGGCUUUAAUCAGGAGUGUAAUUCCAUUCUUGGUCAUAGACAAAAACAAACUUCUGUAAAGCUUGAGGUAUUAGCGUAGAUGGGUGUAAUCCGUUCCAAGGAAAUAUUAAGUAUCAUCAUCAUCAUGCCCAUACCGGGCUUGAUGUAAGGCCUAACACUCCGGAUGUAAAAUAUUUGAUGCCCAAUACAAUUUAUAAAGGGAAAAAUACACAAGGAAAAAAUUCACAAACCAAAU